ensembl:snoRNA SNORA70 Small nucleolar RNA SNORA70
CUGCAGCCAAUUAAGCCAACUGAGUUCCCUUCCUUAUGGGGGCCCCAGUGUGCAGUCGCUGCAAACAGCAGCUUCGUUGGUAGUGUAUGCAGCCUGUUUGUUGUAUGGGUUGCUCUAAGGGACCUUGGAGACAGGC